rnacentral:rRNA from 1 species
CCUACGGGUGGCAGCAGUGAGGAAUAUUGGUCAAUGGGCGCGAGCCUGAACCAGCCAAGUCGCGUGAGGGAGGACGGCCCUACGGGUUGUAAACCUCUUUUGCCGGGGAGCAACGUGCGCCACGUGUGGCGUCACUGAGAGUACUCGGAGAAAAAGCAUCGGCUAACCCCGUGCCAGCAGCCGCGGUAAUACGGGGGAUGCGAGGGUUACCCGGAUUUAUGGGGUUUAAAGGGUGCGGAGGGGGAUCGUUAAGUCAGUGGGAAAGUUGAGGGGCUAAACCCCUUCCCGCCAUUGAUACUGGCGUUCUUGAGUGGAAGAGAAGUAUGCGGAAUGCGUGGUGUAGCGGUGAAAUGCAUAGAUAUCACGCAGAACCCCGAUUGCGAAGGCAGCAUGCCGGCUUCCGACUGACGCUGAAGCACGAAAGCGUGGGGAUCGAACAGGAUUAGAUACCCCUGUAGUC